rnacentral:rRNA from 1 species
GUACGUAGGUGCGAGCGUUGUCCGGAAUUAUUGGGCGUAAAGAGCUCGUAGGCGGCUUGUCGCGUCGGAUGUGAAAGCCCGGGGCUUAACUCCGGGUCUGCAUUCGAUACGGGCAGGCUAGAGUUCGGUAGGGGAGAUCGGAAUUCCUGGUGUAGCGGUGAAAUGCGCAGAUAUCAGGAGGAACACCGGUGGCGAAGGCGGAUCUCUGGGCCGAUACUGACGCUGAGGAGCGAAAGCGUGGGGAGCGAACAGG